UUUUCCUAUCCAUAUUAUAUUCCCAACUCAAUUCUAGGUAAUCCUUUUAGUUUUCUAACAAGCAAACAAAACAAUGAGCACCUUAACACUGAGCGCUACCUUAGGAAGGCUUAACUGACUUCCAGGACUAAGAAAGCAUGGAACAAGUGCCUGUUUCAGUCUCUUAUUUAAGCACUGCAGAUGCGUCGAAACCUAAUAAAAACUGUUCCCUGGCACAUCAACCCUAAUCAGAGAGUAAGAAGCUAAAAAUCUGUGAAUCGCCUACAACCAAAGGGAAGUCUUUUGAGAGCUGCAUUGUUAAAACUCUGAGAACAGCAGAGAGCUUGGGCUUCCCAGGUUACUUCUGAAUGUGUCCAGGGAUGCUGUGCAGAUGGCCAGUACUUGCAGUGUGAGCCAGCUCACUGGUACACAGAAAGCUGGAGUUCGAGAGGAGAGAGCAAAAUACAAGGUCAAGAGAUCAGGGUGACCUUUGAGCUAAUGAGGACGCUAGGUGACACCAAGCCCAAACACUCUCUGAGCAAGUGGCUGGUCCUGAGAGGUGACUGAGGUCACACAACUAUAAGAUAUAAGCAGGAACUGAAAAAUCACAUCUCCAGACUCGUCACUUGGUAUGUUUUUUCUUCUUUUGUUAUAUUGCUCCCCAUCCUAGCUUUUCUAUGGCUGGUGGGCCAGCAA
rnacentral:lncRNA from 1 species